UACGGAGGGUGCGAGCGUUGUCCGGAAUCAUUGGGCGUAAAGGGCGCGUAGGUGGCCCGGUCAGUCCGUGGUGAAAGCGCGGGGCUCAACCCUGCGUCGGCCAUGGAUACUGCCGCGGCUCGAGCACUGUAGAGGCAGGCGGAAUUCCGGGUGUAGCGGUGGAAUGCGUAGAGAUCCGGAAGAACACCGGUGGCGAAGGCGGCCUGCUGGGCAGUUGCUGACACUGAGGCGCGACAGCGUGGGGAGCAAACAGG
rnacentral:rRNA from 1 species